rnacentral:rRNA from 1 species
UACGGAGGAUGCAAGCGUUAUCCGGAAUGAUUGGGCGUAAAGCGUCCGCAGGUGGCUAUGUAAGUCUGCUGUUAAAGAGUGAGGCUCAACCUCAUAAGAGCAGUGGAAACUACAUGGCUAGAGUGCGUUCGGGGCAGAGGGAAUUCCUGGUGUAGCGGUGAAAUGCGUAGAUAUCAGGAAGAACACCGGUGGCGAAAGCGCUCUGCUAGGCCGCAACUGACACUGAGGGACGAAAGCUAGGGGAGCAAAUGGG